GUGCUCGUUUCGGCAGCACAGAUACUAAAAUUGGAAUGAUACAGAGAAGAUUAGCAUGGCCCCUGUGCAAGGAUGACACGGCAAAUUCGUGAAGCGUUCCAUAUUUAA
rnacentral:snRNA from 1 species